GACGAACGCUGGCGGCGUGCUUAACACAUGCAAGUCGAACGAAGUGGCGGACGGGUGAGUAACGCGUAAUCAACCUGCCCUUCAGAGGGGGACAACAGUUGGAAACGACUGCUAAUACCGCAUACUGAAGGAGGGGUUUGCGUCUGAUUAGCUUGUUGGAGGGGGAACGGCCCACCAGGGCGAUGAUCAGUCGCCGGGCGUAGAGGAUGAACGGCCAAAAUGGGACUGAGGCACGGCCCAGACUCCUAAGGGAGGCAGCAGGGGGGAAUCGUCCGCAAUGGAGGACAGUCUGACGGGGCAACGCCGCGUGAGUUAUGACGGCCUUCGGGUUGUAAAGCUCUUUUAAUCGGGACGCGGUACCGGAAUAGAAAGCCACGGCUAACUACGUGCCAGCAGCCGCGGUAAUUC
rnacentral:rRNA from 1 species